AAAAAUUCUUCUUUUCUCACAAUUCAUUUCAUUUUAUAGACAGAAAAGAAGGGUGAUUGUCUAUUUUAACUUAUUUAAUAUUGUUUUUUCUCCAGUUGCUCUAUAUAUUUUCAGCCAUUUGUUUACUUUUGUUCAUCUGCUUUCUUCUUGCACAUCAGUGGAGUAAAACCUCUGGACCCACGAUUCAAAAAUCGUGUCUGGUGGUGUCACCUUUCACUGGUCCAAUCACCAAAAACAUAAUUAAAAAAACGUGCCUUCCUCAGCAACUCACUGCUGAUCAAGAACAACUACAAGAAACUGC